rnacentral:rRNA from 1 species
CAGCCGCCGCGGGAAUACGUAGGUCCCGAGCGUUGUCCGGAUUUAUUGGGCGUAAAGCGAGCGCAGGCGGUUAGAUAAGUCUGAAGUUAAAGGCUGUGGCUUAACCAUAGUAUGCUUUGGAAACUGUUUAACUUGAGUGCAGAAGGGGAGAGUGGAAUUCCAUGUGUAGCGGUGAAAUGCGUAGAUAUAUGGAGGAACGCCGGUGGCGAAAGCGGCUCUCUGGUCUGUAACUGACGCUGAGGCUCGAAAGCGUGGGGAGCAAACAGGAUUAGAUACCCCAGUAGUCCCUGUCUCUUAUACA